CCCUUAGAUGUUCUGGGCCGCACGCGCGCUACACUGACGCAGUCGGCGAGCAUGUCCUACGCCGACAGGUGCGGGGAAUCUUGUCAAACUUCGUCGUGAUGGGGAUUGAUUUUUGAAAUUCUUGAUCAUAAACGAGGAAUUCCUAGUAAGCGCAAGUCAGCAGCUUGCGUUGAUUACGUCCCUGCCCUUUGUACACACCGCCCGUCGCUACUACCGAUUGAAUGGUUUAGUGAGAUCUUCGGAUUGGCGCCACUGCAGCUCAGCAAUGGGCUUGGUGGAUGCCGAAAAGUUGAUCAAACUUGAUCAUUUAGAGGAAGUAAAAGUCGUAACA
rnacentral:rRNA from 1 species